rnacentral:RNase_P_RNA from 1 species
CGACCGUACCGAACAAUCGCGCGGUGCCAUGGCGAAAGCCCGUACCGUGAGGAAAGUCCGAGCUCCACAGAGCAGGAUAACAGAUAACAUCUGCCGAAGGCGACUUCAGGGCCAGUGCAACAGAAAUAAACCGCCAAGAUUUCUUGGUAAGGAUGGAAAGGCGAGGUAAGAGCUCACCGGUGUGUCGGAGACGGCACAGCCAUGUAAACCCUAUCCGGAGCAACACCGUGGCGGGGGCGUAUGCUUGCUCGGCAGCCCCUAUGGAGGUGGCAUGGAGGUUUAUGGCAACAUAAACCCAAGAUAGAUGAUUGUUCACGACAGAACUCGGCUUAUAGGUACGCGUCGCUUU